GCUGGGGUGGCGAAAGCGGUAUACGCAGCGGACUUAAAAUCCGCCGAGGGUAAAUCCUCGUACGGGUUCGAGUCCCGUCCCCAGCA
rnacentral:tRNA from 1 species